CUUCCUCAUGAUCUCCCUGGCCAUCCUGGUGGGCGGCGUGUACCCAACCACCAAGUUCACCAGCACAGAGGGGUCCAGCACGCCCAGGUUGGAGUUGGGGACCUCAUCGUACCACCGGUGUGGGUGCAUCAUGCUCAUCAGGAUCAGCCAGAACAAGAAGAAGAGAGGGAAAAGGACCUCCUGGACGCUGCUUUUCUUGGUCCUGCAUUUCACCAGGCAGUUCUUG
rnacentral:lncRNA from 1 species